rnacentral:precursor_RNA from 1 species
GUGUCAAUGUGAGCGGUCAGGAAAGAAAAUUGGUUUCUUGUAAAAAGCCCCACGUUGGGCGCCA